ACAUAUUCCUACCUGGAAGCAUAAAAAUAUCAAGAAUGUCCCAGAAAAUACAGUCCAACAAAUAUUGAUAUUACACUCAUCAAAGUAUCAGCAGAUCCCUGAAAAGAUGUGCACAGUAGUCCUAGAUCUGACUAUGAAAUUUAUUUAUGAUGAGAUCUUGUCUUAAAUUAAGGCUUUGGCAAAACUUUUACUUGAUUCCUGAGGGUCAGAACAAUAUUUGUCAUAUGAAAUUUGAGACAGGGUCAUCCUAGGAAUCACAUGAAAGAAAACAUGUCAUAUUAUACUCUGAGUGUCAUAAUAGAGGUGUUCUCAGAGAGGAACUUUAUUUGUGCAUAAUAAUAGUCGCUGACCAGUCAGCUGCUGUGGGCCCUUUGUGGCAAGGCACAUUCACCAGAGAAAUCCAGCUCCUAGGGAAACUGCUCAGUUGUCCACUACGCAUAGGAAAAAGAGGAAGCAAAUCAUAUGUCAACAGACCAAAGAGCACAGUAGAACGCAUCACUGGAGUUAUGAAGAUAUGAAGUCUCCUGAUUGAAUUGUUUUUGAAACCUGGACCCUGGAUUUGUGUGACUUGUGAUCAUCUCUGAAUAAACAGAAAAGAGAAAUAGCCUAUACAGGGAAGAUUUUUCUGUAUAAAGCUAAUCACUAGUAGCAGGAAAACAGUUCUCAGACUUAGGCAAAUACUGUUCUGUAUGCCAAGCCCAUUUUAAUGACAUUCUUGAGGUAAUAAAUGUAUUAUCACACAAACAGCAUGUAUUUCCCUUCAUGUAACCUAGUUAUAGUCAAGAAGUUUAACUUACAUGCUCUCUUUUACAUUUUUGCAUUAAAAAGAGCAUUUUCACAAUCAGCCAUAAAAUUUGAUUCAUUAGACAUCGAGAGGCAUUAGCAAAGGCUAACAGUACACAACAUCACACCAUACAUGAAAAUUAGAUCAAAUGUUCUUAAUCCAAAUGAGUUACAAAAUUACAGAUGUAUUUUAGUUUAAAAGGGCUGCAUGUAAGCAUUUGAACGUGGCCAAAUCAGCAAUCCAGGACUAUAUCAACAUGUUGUAAGGUGUUAAAUCAGGAAUGUUUGGUUUUGAUCACUAAAAAUAACUGCCUUCUAGAAGACUGACAGUCUGGUUUUUUAAUUUGCUAUUUUUUUUGAAUCUGUCACUUCUAAUAGAGUUGUACUUAAUUACAAUAUACCCCUUGUAUUUUGAUGGAGACUGGAGACUCACUAAUUAUAAUUAGCUUGACCAGCUUUUCUCCUGAAGCCUGAAAACGGUAAACAAGCAUUUAGAAUACCUUACAUAUGCUGUAGCUUAUUAAAUAACAAAGAUUCAUCAUCUUCUUCUGCUAUUACUGAAAACCUCCAGUUAAAAAAGAGAUUUAACCCAUUUGCUUUGCCCUUUAGUCUUC